rnacentral:lncRNA from 1 species
GGUGUCUGAUGGGAGAAUCCUGUGCCCGCAGCCCUGCGCUUCCCCAGGUGAACCGGGCAGGAGCCUGUUGGGAAGGCAGCGACCCACAUCUGUGUGCACCUUUGUGGAUUUCAGGUUCCGGACGCAGGCGACCAAGCCAGAGCCAGCGCUGUCAUACGCAGAGCACCUGCCGAGCCAUGUGACGUGCUGCUCUCUGCCAGCCCUGAUCGCCUUCCUUUCCAGCAGGACUUGCGCUUCACACUGGACCUUGAGGCCCCAUGGAGAUCUGCCAUUUUGGGCAGGUUCUGCUCACAGUGCCAGUAACUUCACCUAGGAGAAGAGCGACAACUUCAAGGCCGCAUGACCCAUCUGAUUGUCAUCACACAGGUCCCCGCAGGAGAAUUUCCAUGGCGUUUCUCACUCUUUGUUUGCAAAGAAUUUCUUUUUUUAUCGUUUUCUUUUUCUUUUUCUAUUUUCUUUUUUCUUUUUUUUUUGAGACAGAGUCUCUCUCUGUUGCCCAGGCUGGAGUGCAGUGGCAUGACCUCGGCUCACUGCAACCUCGGCCUCCUGGGUUCAAGCAAUUCUCCUGCCUCAGCCUCCCGAGUAGCUGGGAUUACGGGCACACACCACAACGCUCAGCUAAUUUUUGUAUUUUUAGAAAAGACAGGGUUUUACCAUGUUGGCCAGGCUGGUCUCGAUCUUCUGAGCUCGUGAUCCACCUGCCUCGGCCUCCAAAGUGCUGGGAUUACAGGCGUGAGCCACCACACCCAGCCUAAGAAUUUCUUAGAAUUAAUAUCUGCACUUGGCCCCACAUCCUCUGAGUGAUAACUUAGAACUGUCACUUUAAUUGUUGAGAGAGGAUAUUCAGAGAAUAGUGGGUGAUUUUACAAGCAAGGAUAUGUUUGGGGAGCAUGUUCCCGGUGCAUUCUCAGGGUCUCGUGCAUUCUUUUAGACAUUGAAGACAUCCUGAUCUCCAGUGGAAGCAGAGCCCCAGUCAUACACUUAUCCACCGGGGACGAGUUCCAAGACCCCCAGGGAAUGCCUGAAAGCUCGGGUAGUGCUUACCUCUAUGGAUGUUGUGCACAAAUUUAUUUUUCCCUCUUUACAACUUCAUAGAUUGAAGGUUCGUUCUUACCAAAGAUCUUAGCAACCUUAGCUUAUCAUUCCUUUUAUUUCCUGAUUAAGUGGAGAACUUUCACCUUUUCACUAAAAAAAAAAAGUGCUUUACGGCUGCCUUUGCCACGUGCACAUGGUCUUUUGGGACCAUCCUUAAGUCAAAUAAGGGUGACCUGGAUGCAAGCACUGUGAUACAGAGAAAGUCCAGCUCACCACCAAGAUGGCUGCUGAGCCGCUGGUGGGCGCGGAGUGUCGUGUCUGCAGCGUGAACAUGCCGGGCAAAGGAAUAAUGCAUGUCAGGGAUAGGGUGGAGAAGGACUGUGCCAGGCUUCAUCACACUACUCAGAAUGGCACACAGUUUAGAACUUAUAAAUGAUUUAUUUCUGGAGUGAUCCACUGCAUAUUUUCAGACGGUGGUUGAUCGUGGGUAACUGAAAGCAAAACCUGACUGAAAGGGGCUGCUGUGUUCAUGUCAGCAACGCUGAUGCCCUCGAGGCCAGAAGAGUAACCACCAAUCUGGUACCUGAGCACCUGGCUGUAAGUCCACCCUCCAUUUCUGGCCAGGGCCGAGGAAUUCUCUCUUUUUCUCUUUAUUUUCCUCUUGAUUUGAGAAGGUCAACUCUGAGCAUGCUCUAAACACAAAUCAGCAUCUCUACACUUCUUCGGCACCAGGUGUUGCUACUGUCUUUCUGAUUAGAAAAAAAGAAAUAUCCAGGAAUUCUGGAAGACAGUGAUUGAUUUGCAGCUAUGCUGCAAUGGAGCUAAGAAUCAUUAGCACAACCCGUGCUGGUGUUCGACAAGAUGCCCAAUCAAUUCAUCCGAUGACAGGUGCGCUGUGUCUGCGAAGCGCGAAGCCACGGAGUGAGGUGCUGACCAGGCUCCACCAGGAGCAAGGAACAAGACUCCCCAGGGGCUCCUGGUCCACAGAAGGCAGGGACGCCCACAAACAUACCAUGAGUAAAUAGUUCCAAUGUGAAGAAGACUGAAAAUGCCACAGAAGUGUGAGCCCACUGUUUUGAAAUUCUUUCUGCUGAAGGGAUUGAGAAGUAAGUGGACUCCUAGAUUUUCUUUGGAAAUGCCACCGAAAGGGAUAAAAGUAGGGGAAACAUUAUUUUAAAUACACUUUUUCUAAGCAUUUUCUCCAUUUCUUUUAAAAGGAACUCUUCCAUAAAGGAGCAUGACCGAGCCAUGAGUUAUAAUAUAUACAUGCAUAUAGAAAGAGGAUGUGAAUACAGUUGCAGAAGGGCGUCAAAGCCAAAAACACACAGGGAAUGACUUGAGGAAGCUGAGGACCAAGAGCAGUGCUAGCCAUGCCAGUGACUGUGGUCGCUGAGAACUGGAUGAUGGAUGUUUGAGUGACCGUCAGGAGGAUCAGCAUGGGACCAGGAGGAUCAGCAUGGGACCAGGAGGAUCAGCAUGGGACCAGGAGGAUCAGCAUGGGACCAGGAAACAGCAGGCGAGUGAAUGUGAACUCCACUCUCAACAGGGAGAUGACGUGGGUCUCGGAAACCUACAGAUCUGAGUGCUUGCUGUCAGGUCAUGGCAGGGCUCUGACUGCACUGUGGAGGGAACAUCUGUGUUUUUGUCCUCCUGGAACCUAGUGCCCCUUUCCUGGAGGCAGCAUCCUAUUUGACCUGUGUGGGUCCAACCCCACCUCUCUCCUGUAGCAGUGGCAUGGGACCCGGGGCUGGGCCAUUCGCAGCAUUGCCACAGGCAGCAAUGGUGAUUGAUCUAGGAGUUGAUCAUUGAUCCUAACUGGGUGCUCAGGCCAAGGGGAUUGAUUCUUGGUAUUUUUUAAUCUCUUUUUUCCACUGGAAUUAUAGCUAAUAUGAUGAAGCCUAGAUAUACUGCGUAUCUGGCUUUUAGACAGGGCAAACCUGCCUAGAAAUGAAAAUGAAGUCACCACCUGUGAAAGCAGAAACAAGAGCUUGAGAGAGACUGAGUCCUGGUGAGAAUUUCUGAACCCCUUGAUCCAGCGAUGCCUGAAGCCAGAACUACUUGUAAACUUUUCAGUCAUGCAAUCCUGUCACUUCUGUUUGUUCUUAAGUGCAUUUUGUAUGGUUUCUGCCGCUGACCACGGAAACGUCCUUCACUAACAGGGAAGCAGAGUUACCCCAUUUGAGAGCCUCAGAAGGAAGAUGGCAUUCAUGCAAAGGAAGCAUGCGUUUGCUCUCACUUCCUGAGAGAAAGCCUGAAAAUGAAGCCAAUCUCAUUUUCUUUCAGAGAUGAGUCUCUUGAUCAGAGAAUGCCUCAGUUCCCUGUAUCUAAAUUUUAGCAAGUGAGAGAAUGCCUCAGUCCCCUGUAUCUGAAUUUUAGCAAGCGAGAGAAUGCAUUUAGGACAAGCAACAGCGAUGGCUCCCGUGUGUUCUUGGCUGCUCUGUUUCUAAAUGAAGAUUCACCUGGAGGCAGCCUUUGCUGCAGGGACACCCAGAUCUCACCUUGUUCUUGUUCUUUUCAAUCAUUUUAGCAAAGGCUCAGCCUACUGAUCCGAUUUAGAGAUGAGCCAUGAAAGCAGAUAUUUAGAUAAUAUUUUCCCAACUGCCUGGAGCAUUAGGUUAGAACUAGUGAGAUAAAAAUAUAAUGAAAAUAAUAGAAAGCUUUGACCCUCAGAUUUAAGAAAAAAAUCAAUGGUGAGGAAGUUCAACAGAGAAUGUGGUUCAGGGCAGAGAGGUUGAUGUCUAAACCCACACCUCUUAGGAGUGUGAUAUGGCUGCAAAGUCCAUCCAAGAGCCCCUUAGACAGCUCCCAGGUCUGCCAGAAAAAAGCAAUUCAUCUUUCCUAUACAGGAGUUUAAGGUCAUUUUGAAGUGGAUGAAUUGGGAAACAUUAUUUUUGUGAAUUGAAUAUAUUGUAGGAAAUCUUGUAUGCUCUAAUCUGCUAGUUAAUAUACUAAUCAAGAAAAGGUAAUAAAACCACAUAGCUAAAAAGAAACAUAUUGAUUUCAGCGACUUCUGCUAAAGCCAGAUUAUGUGAAGAUUAAAUCUAAAAUGUCAGCAAAAUAAUACUGAAUCGAUCUUUCAUCAUCUGUGUGGCCUGUUUUAUUGACUCAUUUCUUUAUUGUUAUUAUACCAAUGAAGCAUGGAAAUGCUGUCAUGGAAAAAUCCAAAUGGCUUAUUGUGUUGCCAAGCAUUUUAUUAGAGU